CAACCUGUGACAUUCAAACUGGGGCCUCUUUUGGUUUUUUAUGGACGAAAAUUGCCACCAGGUUUUGAGAGUUACUGAUUG
ensembl:miRNA